CGAACGCUGGCGGCGCGCCUAACACAUGCAAGUCGAGGGAGAACCUGGCUUCGGCCAGGGAGACCGGCGAACGGGUGAGUAACACGUGAGGAACCUACCCUGUAGACCGGAAUAACCACGGGAAACUGUGGCUAAUGCCGGAUAUGCUCGAACGGCCGCAUGGCCGAUCGAGGAAAUGGUCAGCCGCUACAGGAUGGCCUCGCGGCCUAUCAGCUUGUUGGUGGGGUAACGGCCUACCAAGGCGACGACGGGUAGCUGGCGUGAGAGCGCGACCAGCCACACUGGGACUGAGACACGGCCCAGACUCCUACGGGAGGCAGCAGUGGGGAAUCUUGCGCAAUGGGCGAAAGCCUGACGCAGCGACGCCGCGUGCGGGAAGAAGGCCUUCGGGUUGUAAACCGCUUUCAGCAGGGAAGAAGCGAAAGUGACGGUACCUGCAGAAGAAGGACCGGCCAACUACGUGCCAGCAGCCGCGGUAAUACGUAGGGUCCGAGCGUUGUCCGGAAUUAUUGGGCGUAAAGAGCUCGUAGGCGGUCCCUUUAGUCAGAUGUGAAAUCUCAGGGCUCAACCCUGAAAUUGCAUCUGAUACUGGGGGACUUGAGGCAGGUAGGGGAAGGUGGAAUUCCUUGGUGUAGCGGUGAAAUGCGCAGGAUAUCAGGAGGAAACACCAAUGGGCGAAGGCAGCCUUCUGGGGCCUGUACUGAACGCUGAGGAGCGA
rnacentral:rRNA from 1 species